rnacentral:rRNA from 1 species
UGGGGAAUAUUGGUCAAUGGGCGAGAGCCUGAACCAGCCAAGUAGCGUGCAGGAUGACGGCCCUAUGGGUUGUAAACUGCUUUUAUAUGGGAAUAAAGUGAGGGACGUGUCCCUUAUUGCAUGUACCAUACGAAUAAGGACCGGCUAAUUCCGUGCCAGCAGCCGCGGUAAUACGGAAGGUCCAGGCGUUAUCCGGAUUUAUUGGGUUUAAAGGGAGCGUAGGCUGUUUGUUAAGCGUGUUGUGAAAUGUAGGAGCUCAACUUUUAGAUUGCAGCGCGAACUGGCAGACUUGAGUGCGCACAACGUAGGCGGAAUUCAUGGUGUAGCGGUGAAAUGCUUAGAUAUCAUGACGAACUCCGAUUGCGAAGGCAGCUUACGGGAGCGCAACUGACGCUAAAGCUCGAAGGUGCGGGUAUCGAACAGG